UACGAAGGGGGCUAGCGUUGCUCGGAAUUCCUGGGCGUAAAGCGCACGUAGGCGGCUUCUUAAGUCGGUGGUGAAAUCCUGGAGCUCAACUCCAGAACUGCCUUCGAUACUGGGAAGCUCGAGUCCGGGAGAGGUGAGUGGAACUGCGAGUGUAGAGGUGAAAUUCGUAGAUAUUCGCAAGAACACCAGUGGCGAAGGCGGCUCACUGGCCCGGUACUGACGCUGAGGUGCGAAAGCGUGGGGAGCAAACAGG
rnacentral:rRNA from 1 species